rnacentral:rRNA from 1 species
UACAGAGGGUGCGAGCGUUGUCCGGAAUCACUGGGCGUAAAGGGCGCGUAGGUGGCGAUCCAAGUCCAUGGUGAAAGCUCGAUGCUCAACAUCGAGUCGGCCACGGAUACUGGGUUGCUCGAGCACUGUAGGGGCAGAUGGAAUUCCGGGUGUAGCGGUGGAAUGCGUAGAGAUCCGGAAGAACACCGGUGGCGAAGGCGGUGUGCUGGGCAGAUGCUGACACUGAGGCGCGACAGCGUGGGGAGCAAACAGG